rnacentral:lncRNA from 10 species
CAGGUAUAAUAAAGUCUGCUGAAGAAACCCAGUGCCAGGUCAGGGGAAUGUAGAAAUUAUCACCACCCCAAGGAGACUUCUUUAUAAUUUUUUUAACUCUGGUUCCUGGGGUAUAAUUACUUUACUGUCCAUCUUUUGCCCCACCUGCCUAAAUCAUCACAUUGCUACUCAGCUCAGUCCUGCUAACUCUACUUCCUUCCAGAAAGUCCCCAUUGUUUGUAGUAUUAGCGGAUGUAUUGUCUUACCUCCCACAACAGAAAUCGAAGAUGGAUGUUUUUUACCUCUCCACUCCCAGACAAAGAAGCAUUUGAUCCUUGCCUAACCAGCCGACCAUACAUUUGCUUCAAGGCCUUUGAAUCUAGAGCACGCACCACAGAGAAAAUCAAUCAAUGGAAUAAAAUGGAAUAAAGGAAUCUUUUGAGGAGGAGGAGCCAAGAUGGCCAAAUAGGAACAGCUCCGGUCUACAGCUCCCAGUGUGAGCGACGCAGAAGACGGUGAUUUCUGCAUUUCCAUCUGAGGUACCAGGUUUAUCUCACUAGGGAGUGCCAGAGAGUGGGUGCAGGUCAUUGGGUGUGCGCACCGUGCACGAGCUGAAGCAGGG